UACGUAGGGUGCAAGCGUUAAUCGGAAUUACUGGGCGUAAAGCGUGCGCAGGCGGUUUUGUAAGACCGAUGUGAAAUCCCCGGGCUUAACCUGGGAACUGCAUUGGUGACUGCAAGGCUUGAGUGUGUCAGAGGGAGGUGGAAUUCCGCGUGUAGCAGUGAAAUGCGUAGAGAUGUGGAGGAACACCAGUGGCGAAGGCGACUCUCUGGUCUGUAACUGACGCUGAGGCGCGAAAGCGUGGGGAGCAAACAGG
rnacentral:rRNA from 1 species